AGAGUUUGAUCAUGGCUCAGGAUUAACGCUGGCGGCGUGCAUGAGACAUGCAAGUCGAACGGACGAGUGGGCUUGCUCACUCGUUAGUGGCGGACGGCUGAGUAACGCGUAGGUGACCUGCCCCGAAGUGGGGAAUAACUGCCCGAAAGGGUGGCUAAUACCGCAUGUGGUGCCACGUUCAUUCGUGUCUCCAAAGCCGCAAGGCGCUUCGGGAGGGGCCUGCGUCCGAUUAGCUCGUUGGUGGGGUAAUGGCUCACCAAGGCGACGAUCGGUAGGUGGUCUGAGAGGACGAUCACCCAGACUGGGACUGAGACACGGCCCAGACUCCUACGGGAGGCAGCAGUCGGGAAUUUUGCUCAAUGGGCGCAAGCCUGAAGCAGCAACGCCGCGUGGGGGAUGACGGCCUUCGGGUUGUAAACCUCUUUUCCCGGGGACGAUGAUGACGGUACUCGGGGAAUAAGUCACGGCUAACUACGUGCCAGCAGCCGCGGUAAUACGUAGGUGACGAGCGUUGUCCGGAUUUACUGGGCGUAAAGAGCGCGCAGGCGGUCGUACAAGUCGAGUGUGAAAUCCCCCGGCUCAACUGGGGAACGUCGCUCGAUACUGUUCGACUUGAAGGCGGGAGAGGGAAGCGGAAUUCCCGGUGUAGUGGUGAAAUGCGUAGAUAUCGGGAGGAACUCCAGUGGCGAAGGCGGCUUUCUGGCCCGUUCUUGACGCUGAGGCGCGAAAGCUAGGGUAGCAAACGGGAUUAGAUACCCCGGUAGUCCUAGCCGUAAACGAUGGACACUAGGUGUUGGUGGUAUCAACCCCGCCAGUGCCGAAGCUA
rnacentral:rRNA from 1 species